rnacentral:rRNA from 1 species
GACGAACGCUGGCGGCGUGCUUAACACAUGCAAGUCGAACGGAAAGGCCCUGCUUUUGUGGGGUGCUCGAGUGGCGAACGGGGGAGUAACACGUGAGUAACCUGCCCUUGACUUUGUGAUAACUUCAGGAAACUGGGGCUAAUACCGGAUAGGAUCUCCUGCUGCAUGGUGGUGGUUGGAAAGUUUCGGCGGUUGGGGCUGGACUCGCGGCUUAUCAGCUUGUUUGGGGGGUAGUGGCUUACCAAGGCUUUGACGGGUAGCCCGCCUGAGAGGGUGACCGGCCACAUUGGGACUGCGAUACGGACCAGAAUCCUACGGGCGGCAGCAGUGGGGAAUAUUGCACAAUGGGGGGAAGCCUGAUGCAGAAACGCCGCGUGCGGGAUGACGGCCUUCGAGUUGUAAACCGAUUUCGCCUGUGACGAAGCGUGAGUGACGGUACUGGGUAAAGAAGCCCCGGCUAACUACGUG